rnacentral:rRNA from 1 species
UACGUAGGGGGCGAGCGUUGUCCGGAAUCAUUGGGCGUAAAGCGCGUGUAGGCGGCUCAGUCAGUCUGGUGUGAAACCUUGGGGCUCAACCCCAAGCCUGCACUGGAUACUGCUGAGCUUGAGUCCGGGAGGGGAGAGCGGAAUUCCUAGUGUAGCGGUGAAAUGCGUAGAUAUUGGGAGGAACACCAGUGGCGAAGGCGGCUCACUGGACCGGUACUGACGCUGAGGCGCGAAAGCGUGGGGAGCAAACAGG